CAUGCUGCAGGCCAUUAACUCAUGGGUUGCACAUGUGUGGCCACAGAGCAGAGCCUGUCACACCUCAGGGACAACAUGGAAGAGGCAUGUGACACCAGCAAAGGGACCCUGACCAGUCAAGGUGCCGAAUGAACAAAUUGAGAAAAAAGACGGGACACACAUAUGGGGAGAAUGCCAUGUGGAAAUGAAGGCAGAGAUUGACGUGAUGUUUCUGCAUAUCAAGAAAUACAAAAGGUAACCAUCAAAGUACCAGAAGCUAGGGGAGAGGCAUGGAACAUAUUAUUUCAUAGUCCUCAGAAGGAACUGACCCUGUCAACACCUUAAUCUUGGACUUUAACCUCCAGACUGUGAGAUAAUACAUUUCUGUGGUUUAAGCCACUCAGUGUGUGGUACUCUGUCAGCUCUAGCAAAAUAAUACCUUACUGACCACAUGUGCCAUUCAUUGGAAAGCUCUUCAUUUCUCUAGCUUUAAUAAUUUAUCCACUUCAAGCUUCAAGUCUCACCUUGGAACUUCUAUAACCACCAUUCUCUUGUAGACUUUACCGAUGCACAAAAUUCCUGGCAAGCAACUCCAGAAUCCAUUUCUUGAACUCCUACAUUAUAGGUUUACAAACUCCUCAAAAUACAGGAUAAAUAAAUGAAUCUUAUGGGCAAAUAAUGUAUCUGUCUGGCCUAAGCAAACCAAUGUAUACCGGUUAAAUUAUAGAAUAGUAUCUCAAUGCACCAGAACAUGUUGAUUUUGUUUGCAGAUAUUUAUGGUGGCUUUUUAAGAGUGUGGUAUCAAACUGAAUGCAGGCCAUAUGUUAUCUAAAGGAUGAACCAUAAACAAAUAUUUGUUAUUUGGAUAAUAAGGGGUUUGUAGGGCAACAAACUCAUAUAAGUUAAGAAACAAAAUACUCUUACUUCAUAAUAUAUACAUCUUGAAAGAUGAUAAUUAUAUGUUAUGAUUUUUUAAAUUGUACAGUAAUUUGAAUUGCAAUUGCAAUUUUAAAUGAACAAUUGGGAUGGAUAAUUAUAUCUCAUUAUGUCAACUGGGUUACUCUGAUGAGUUCUAUUUCUGGAUACUGGUGAAAGUAAAAUGGGUCCCCAAAUAUGAUUUAUUUAGCAAAAUGGUAUGUUCACCUUAUGUUCCUGAGCUGUUUCUAUAGAAAAUAAUACUUAAAUGUUUGUUAGUGAUCAGGUUAAGUUUGGGAGAUUCAUCUGAAAAAACUGAAAAGGAGGAUGAAUUGGGAGAUUGGGAUUGACAUAUAUACACUGCUAUGUAUAAAAUAGAUAAUUAAUGAGAACCUACUGUAUAGCACAGGGAACUCUACUCAGUGCUCUUUGGUGAUCUAAAUUGGAAGGAAAUCUAAAAAAGAGGGGAUAUAUGUAUAACUGAUUCACU